GGGGCGGGAGCUGGCGUUGGUAAGGUUGGAGAAGAAGGAGGUUGAAAAAAUGGCGAACACAAGUGAAAAUGGACUGUGACAAAAAAGUUACGGCAAGUGGAUGUAUUUAGCAUAAGUGCGUGGUUGUAUGUUUUUAAAGACUCUCUAUCCGACAGUCUGUUGCUAAAACAUUACCUACACACCUUCACUGGAUUAAAAAAGACACUUUUAGCCCAGAAGUGAGAGACUUUAUUUGUUGCCUUGCAAUAUAGCUUGUGUUAGCACAUAUAGCUGUGUGCAGCAGCAGUCGCUAGCACACUGACUGGACUCAUGUUGCAGCUAGCCCAGCGCACAUCAGAGAUUUGUUUUUCCCCGUUGUUCCCGAUCUGGAAACCUUGAAGGAUUUGGCGUUGUUGCCGUGUGUUGCUGUCUCUCAUCACCCGCUCCUGGCCCCGCCGUCGCCUGUCGCCUGUCUCCUGGCCCCGCCGACCGCCGUCACCUGUCGCCGGGGUUUGCCGACCGUCAUCACUAGCUCCUGGCUCCGCCGACCGGCAUCACCUGCCGCUCAACGGACCUUGCCGCUUUGAGGACUCCGCUGCGUCAACUUACCUUCGUCAGAGACAUCGUUUACGUUAGAGAUUGGACCCGCAACUCUCACAUAAGGUACCAUAUUUUAUUUUCUGGCUCUUCUGAGUGAAGCGGCCAUUUUGUUUUGGGCCUCACCGCUCCCAAGCUAUGCAUCAGGCCUGCAUCAGAAUCUUCCCGAUUCUACCAGGUGCCGCCAUUUUGUGUUGUGUCCCGCCUAUUCACAGAAAUCGGUCAGGUUUUUUCCUUUGGUUGGAUUGUUUUGUUUUAUUUGUCUCAGAGGAUCUUCCAGUGACGUAGAUGGCAAGCCAUUCCCCUUCAAUCUAGAAGAAACAGAUUUCAAGAUACUACAGGAUCACUGGACAGGUUCUGCUGCACUCUCCGGUGUGGUAGGCCCAGUAUCAGCAGACACCCCCACACUCAGCACUUAAUUCACCCCCCUCUCCCCCAAUCACCAUCACACACAUUUGCCCAUAUCCCUGGAACUCUGAUCUGCCCAAACUUACCUGGACCUCUGAAUUCACUUACCUUGCUCACCAACAUUUUCUUGGACUCUGGACUUUGAACCAAUUUGCCCUUUCCUUCAUUGAGGAGGUCGUUCGGCCCUAAAUACCUUAGGGAAUCAGUUUCUAAUGACAUAGCUACUCUGGAUGGCAUUACUUUGGCCCCCGGCUCCACGGUAAGGAACCUCGGAGUCAUUUUCGAUGCGGAUUUGUCCUUUACCUCCCAUAUUAAACAGAUCUCUAAAACCGCCUUUUUUCACUUGCGUAAUAUCUCAAAAGUCCGACAUAUCUUGUCUCAGAGUGACGCAG